GAACGCCCCGCAAGGGGAGUGGCAGACGGGUGAGUAACGCGUGGGAACGUGCCCUUCGCUUCGGAAUAGUCCCGGGAAACUGGGUUUAAUACCGGAUACGCCGUAUUGGGAAAGAUUUAUCGGCGAAGGAUCGGCCCGCGUUAGAUUAGGUAGUUGGCGGUGUAAUGGACCACCAAGCCUACGAUCUAUAGCUGGUCUGAGAGGAUGAUCAGCCACACUGGAACUGAGACACGGUCCAGACUCCUACGGGAGGCAGCAGUGGGGAAUAUUGGACAAUGGGCGCAAGCCUGAUCCAGCCAUACCGCGUGGGUGAAGAAGGCCUUCGGGUUGUAAAGCCCUUUUGUUGGGAAAGAAAUCCAGCUGGCUAAUACC
rnacentral:rRNA from 1 species